AGUGAACUUGCUAGGUCAUAUGGUACCUCUCUGUUUAACUUUUUGAGGAAUAGCCAAAUUGUUUUCCUAAGUGGCUAUGCCAUUUUACUUUCCAUCCAGCAAU
rnacentral:pre_miRNA from 1 species